CCUACGGGUGGCAGCAGUCGGGAAUAUUGCGCAAUGGAGGAAACUCUGACGCAGCGACGCCGCGUGCAGGAAGAAGGUUUUCGGAUUGUAAACUUCUUUUUACAGGGAAGAAAAAAGACAGUAUCUGUAGAAUAAGCUCCUGCUAACCACGUGCCAGCAGCCGCGGUAAUACGUAGGGGGCAAGCGUUAUCCGGAUUUAUUGGGUGUAAAGGGUGCGUAGACGGCGAAGCAAGUCAGUUGUGAAAUCACGAGGCUUAACUGAGGAACUGCAACUAAAACUGCUUUCCUUGAGUACUGGAGAGGAAAGCGGAAUUCCUAGUGUAGCGGUGAAAUGCGUAGAUAUUAGGAGGAACACCAGUGGCGAAGGCGACUUUCUGGACAGUAACUGACGUUGAGGCACGAAAGUGUGGGGAGCAAACAGGAUUAGAUACCCUGGUAGUC
rnacentral:rRNA from 1 species